AUUGAACGCUGGCGGCAGGCUUAACACAUGCAAGUCGAGCGCCCCGCAAGGGGAGCGGCAGACGGGUGAGUAACGCGUGGGAACGUACCCUUUUCUACGGAAUAACGCAUGGAAACGUGUGCUAAUACCGUAUACGCCCUUAGGGGGAAAGAUUUAUCGGAGAAGGAUCGGCCCGCGUUGGAUUAGCUAGUUGGUGGGGUAAAGGCCUACCAAGGCGACGAUCCAUGGCUGGUCUGAGAGGAUGAUCAGCCACAUUGGGACUGAGACACGGCCCAAACUCCUACGGGAGGCAGCAGUGGGGAAUAUUGGACAAUGGGCGCAAGCCCGAUCCAGCCAUGCCGCGUGAGUGAUGAAGGCCUUAGGGUUGUAAAGCUCUUUCACCGGUGAAGAUAAUGACGGUAACCGGAGAAGAAGCCCCGGCUAACUUCGUGCCAGCCGCCGCCGUAAGAC
rnacentral:rRNA from 1 species